rnacentral:lncRNA from 1 species
AUUCAAUUGUUGAUCAGUAACCAGUGCAUGAUAGUAAGACUUGGUUCAACCUUGAUAUAAAAAUGUUGCUCGAUGUGAAAAUUUCCAUGGGUGUUGUUGAACUGUAGAGUUUCACCAUUCCACUGAAAUUUCCCCGCCAAUGUUUUCUCCCAAAAUAGUAUACAACACUCGCAGAGUGUACUCUCCCGAAGCUGCAUGGGAUAAUGAUGCCCCUAGUCCUCCCAGGUCAACAUCAGCAUCCCUUUUGUCGGGCUACGUCUCUCGAAUAUGGGCACCAUCAUAUCAUCCUCACUUGAUGCAUCACCAUCCUUUUGAGGUACGCCUCAGCCUUGUUGUCACCUACAUCUUCUUCUGGUUGGUGUCCAACAUAUUAACAGUCUUCCUCCAUGUUAUGUGCAGUAUAAUGGUUUGAGUAUGCUACAAUUAUAGCUUUACCACCAAGCUCUGAAUCACCUCUUGUGUCCAUUUAAAACUCAAAAUGAACCCGUUAGGUUUUUUCAUGCUUCGUACUUUUGACCAUGUCUAUUCAUCUUCAUAUGGUUACACACAGUACCCCACAAAAACACCAUCGACCAUUAUAGGUUGUCGAUAGUAUAUGUGACGGCAGAUCACGUCAACAAGGAUCUUCAUUUUGCUUCGUCGAACUUUGGUGUUCUUCUCAUGAUCACCCUCUUAUUUUUACCACCAUUGUAAUCUACUCUACCGCUUUCACAGUAACGAGAUAUCCUUAGAGGAGUGUGAAUGCAAACUCAACCAUUAUGGAGUGGGAAGGGGAGAGACAUGAAGAAGAGAAAGAGAAUUAAGGAGAUGGAGGAACAAGAGCAAGAUAAUCAAGGAGAUGGAGAAACAAGAGUUGUGAGUUCUGAUAAUUGUAAGUAGGAAUUAUAUAUGUAUAGAGAGAGAGAGAGAGAGAGAGAG